rnacentral:rRNA from 1 species
GAAUCUUUAAAACAAGCAUUAAAUGAAAACCUUGAUAAAAAAAUAAGGACGUCACGCUACGAAAGUUAUGAGUAAGCAUAGGCUUGUGAUCCGUAAAUUUCCUAAGAGUAAACUCAGCUUAAUUUUUACAUAUAGUAACGAGAAUUGAAUCAUCUUAGUAUCGUUAAUAAAAAUCAAACGAGAAAUUGUAAGUAAUGGUGAAUGAAAGCAAAAAGGCUAUUAUAUUAAAAUUCAGUUAAAAAAUUAUUUAUUGCUUUGGAAGGUAUAAGCCCUGUAUUAAACUGAAAUAAUAUAACAAAACUAAGUAGUACGAAAAGUUAUCUUGUAUGAACAAAGGAGAUCCACCUUCUAAGCCAACCAAAUUUUUUUAAUCAAUAGUAAACGAGUACUGUAAAGAAAAGGUGAAAAAUUCCGUAAGGAUAAAUUGAAAUUAAAUGCUUAUAACAACUCGAAAUUAUUAAAAAUAACGAAAUGCCUUUUGCAUAAUGAGUCAGUAAGUUAAUAAAUAUAGCAAGUUCAAAUAUUAAUAUCGAAACGAUUAAAAGUAAUAUUUAUUAAACCUGAAACCAAGUGAUCUAUUCAUCAGCAAGCUGAAAAUUCAUUAACAUGUUUUUUAGGGCUGAACUCACACAUGUAGCAAAAUGUGGAGAUGACUGAUGAAUAGGAGCGAAAGACUAAUCAAACUUGGAGAUAGCCGGUUUUUCACGAAAUGUAUUUUAGUACAUCAUUAACUAAUUCAAGAUUAAAUUUUAGAUAGAGUACACAAUAAGCAAAGGGGUGUAACGACUUACUGAGUUUAAUCUAACUCCCAAUUAUAAUUUAAUAAAGUUAAUAGACAGUCUUUGAGCGAAAAGGUCCAUAGACAAGAGGAAAACAAUCCGAAUCACAUACUAAGAUCUUGAAAUUGUAACUUAGUGAAAAAGCUUUAAAAAGAAUCAAAUAUUAAUGUGGAUAGGCUUAGAAGCAGUCUUUCAUUAGAGAUAGCGUUUUAGCUCAUUAUUUUUUUCUUUGUUAAAGUUAAAAUUUAAGAAGACUUUAGUUAUAUAUCGAAGUAGUGGAUUACAUUGUAAUGGUAGUGAAACGUUCUGUAAUCUUUUUAUUUUUUGAAAAAUAAAUAAAUUAAUUCAGAAGUGCUAAUGCUGACAUGAGUAGCGAAAACUAUGUUAACAAAUCAUAGUCGCUUUAAGUUUAAGGGUUUCAACGUAAUUUCAAAUUCGUUGAGUUAGUCGGUCCUUAAGAGGUGAAUGAAAGUUGUACUUGACAGGAAUUAUUAAUAAACCAGUUAUAUGUAUUAAAUUAUGAAAAAAAAUUAAUUAAUAAAACUUUUUAAAUUUUUUGUGGAAAAAAAUCAAACUUAAUUUUUCAAGAAAAAAUUAUAACAAAUUAAGACCGUACUUAAACCGACACUGGUAAAUUUAUCGAAGAGAUUAAAGUGAAUGAAAAAAUCAUAUUAAAGGAAUUCAGCAAAUUAACUCUGUACGUUCGCAAUAAAGAGAACCUUUUAUAAGGUAGCAUUAAAUAAAAAGUAACGACUGGUUAUCAAAACCACAGGACUCUGCUAAUUUAUAAAAAAGUAUAGAGUCUGACGCCUGCCCAGUGCUUGAAAAUAAUAAUUUUUGUUUAAGCUCAAAUUUUAAUUACAAGUAAACGGCGGUUCUAACUAUAAGAAUCCUUAGGUAGCGAAAUUCCUUGACGGGUAAAUUCCGUCCUGCAUGAAUGGCGUCACGAUUGCUUUACUGUCUCUAAUAUGAAUUCAGCGAAAUUACAAAACCUAUGAAAAUGUAGGUUACUUGCAGUAAGACGGAAAGACCCUAGAUCCUUUACUCUAUUUUUGUAUUGUAAAAAUUAUAUAAUUGUAUAGAAUAAGUGGAAGUACACACAACUAUGAAAUACCACUCAAAUAUAUAGUAUUUACUUAUUUAUUAAUUUAAAUUAAUAAAAACCGUACAAAAAAGGGAGUUUACUUGGGACGAGUACCUCCUAAAAUGUAACGGAGGUGUACGAAGGUAACUUAUAUUACAAAAAUGUAUAAUGGCAAAAGUUGCUUGACAAUUAGAUUGAUAAAUCAAAUUGGGACGCAAGUCAGUCAUAAUGACCCGAUAUUUAAGUGUGGAAUUAAUAUCGUUCAACAGAUAAAAGGAACUCUAGGGAUAACAGAUUCAUCGUGAUUGAGAGUUCGUAUUGAUGUCACGGUUUGAUACCUCGAUGUCGACUCAUCUUAUCCUGAAGUUGAAGCAAAUUUCAAGGGUCUAGUUGUUCGCUAGUUAAAAAGGUACGUGAGUUGGGUUCAGAACGUCGUGAGACAGUUCGGUCCCUAUCUACUGUAAGUAAAGAAAAAUAAAAAAUCUAUCUUUAGUACGAGAGGACCAAGAUAUGUUAACCACUGGUAUAUCGAUUGUUAAUCCUUUAGCAUAGUCAAAUAGCUACGUUAAUUUACGCUUAAAUACUGAAAGAAUCAAAAGUAUCAAAGCUAUUUUUUUAUUUUUCAGGAAUAAUCUAAAAGACUAUUAGAUUGAUCGAUUUAUAAUUUAAAUUUAGUAAUAAAUUUAGUAAUAAACACGAAAUUAUUCAAAAAAGAUUUUA